AACGAACGUUGGCGGCGUGGAUGAGGCAUGCAAGUCGAGCGAGGCCAGUCUGUAGCAAUACGGGCUGAGUCGAGCGGCGUAAGGGGCAGUAAGGCAUGGGUAACGUACCCUGGGGUCGGGGAUAGCCGAGGGAAACUUCGGGUAAUACCCGAUAAUGUCGCAAGACCAAAGAUUUAUCGUCCCGGGAGCGGCUCAUGUGGUAUUAGCUAGUUGGUGGGGUAAUGGCCCACCAAGGCUGAGAUGCCUAGCGGGUGUGAGAGCACGACCCGCGCCACUGGCACUGAGACACUGGCCAGACACCUACGGGUGGCUGCAGUCGAGAAUCUUCGGCAAUGAGCGCAAGCUUGGCCGAGCGACGCCGCGUGCGGGAUGAAGGCCUUCGGGUUGUAAACCGCUGUCGAGGGGGAGGAAGGCGUAAGCUUGACCUAUCCCUGGAGGAAGCACGGGCUAAGUUCGUGCCAGCAGCCNGCGGUAAGACGAACUGUGCGNAACGUUGUUCGGNAAUCACUGGGCNUAAAGGGUGCGUAGGCGGNCCCGUUNAAGUCNGGGGGUGAAAUACUUCGGCUCAANCCGGAGAAUUGCCNUUCGAUACUGGCGGGCUUGAGGAGGGUAGGGGUCGCGGGAACUGCCAGUGGAGCGGUGAAAUGCGUUGAUAUUGGCAGGAACGCCGGUGGUGAAGACGCGCGGCUGGACCUUUUCUGACGCUGAGGCACGAAAGCCAGGGGAGCAAACGGGAUUAGAUACCCCGGUAGUCCUGGCCCUAAACGAUGGGUACUAGGUAGUGGGUUCGACACGGACUCGCUGCCGAAGCAAAAGUGUUAAGUACCCCGCCUGGGGAGUAUGGUCGCAAGGCUGAAACUCAAAGGAAUUGACGGGGGCUCACACAAGCGGUGGAGCAUGUGGCUUAAUUCGAGGCUACGCGAAGAACCUUAUCCUGGACUUGACAUGUCCGAAAGGGGCAGGNAAGUAGCNGGCCNGGAAACNGGCCCGCGAACGGUAUNCCAAUNCCNGGAACCUGCCACAGGUGCUGCAUGGNCUNGUCGUNCAGNCUCGUGUCGUGAGAUGUCGGGUUAAGUCCCAUAACGAGCGAAACCCUUGCCCUUAGUUGCUACCAGGUAAUGCUGGGCACUCUAGGGGGACUGCCGGUGUUAAACCGGAGGAAGGUGGGGAUGACGUCAAGUCAUCAUGGCCUUUAUGUCCAGGGCUGCGCACGUGCUACAAUGCGGCGUACAAAGGGAAGCAAGACCGCGAGGUGGAGCAAAUCCCAAAAAACGUCGCUCAGUACAGAUUGAAGGCUGCAACUCGCCUUCAUGAAGCUGGAAUCGCUAGUAAUCGCGGAUCAGCAACGCCGCGGUGAAUGUGUCCCUGAGCCUUGUACACACCGCCCGUCAAGCCACGAAAGGGAGGGGCAUCCGAAGUCGCUGUGCUAACCGCAAGGAGGCAAGUGCCGAAGAUGAAACUCCUGAUUGGGACU
rnacentral:rRNA from 1 species